ACUGUUCAGGUAGCACAGAGAGUCCGUCUGGUACUUGGCCAACUUCUGAAGCAGUUGAGCAAGAAAUUAUGGUUCCAUCACUCCGUGUGGUUGAGCUGAUGGCUUUCAACUGAGUUUGAGAAACAUCUGACGCCCUAUCUGCAACAACCCUGAUUAUUGACAGCAAGCCUAGCAAGGGUCAGCGCAAUUCUUGCAGAAAUUUGUUCGGGCGAAAUAUUAGUUGUUACUGAUUCUAAGCUUGGAAAUGUUAUAAAAGAAAAGCUGGUUAGUGGUGUUUGUCAAUUUAUUGCUUUCUUUACAUGGAUAAGCCAUCCUUAAAUAUUCAACGCGCUAUUGCAUAAAAUUGGCUAUCUCUACAAUAGUGUUGUGAUGGAGCUGAUGCGAGGGCUGAGAAAUCAGCUCAUUGAGCUUAUAAGUGGGUUGGGUACAUAAGACCUGGGUCCAAUGAGCUUGGGAUUGUCGCACAACUUGUUUUUGGCUUAGUGGGUUCAGUCCCGAGAAGGUGAGUCUUGUAUUGGUGCUACCGGCCAUCUUAUUUAUCAUGUUGUUAUGUGCUCCAUUUUUUGCUUUUAUUGUAUCAACAUUUGUCCUUGGCAUGAAAUCAUCUGGAAACAUCUCUCAACUAAAAACAAUGUCAGGGAUCAAUCUUUUUAUCGAAGUCUCUAUUCUUGUCUGAACAUUAUGCAAGUGGUUUUCUUUGAAAUCAUAAGCAUGGAGUGCAUCUAUUUAAAGAUAAAGCUUGGACAACCAAUCAUUUAUUAUCCGAGAAUUUAAUUUGGUUUUAUUAAUUAAUUUAAACCUUUCUAUAGGAAGAGAGUGGCUCUUCACUCCCAUCGGACUGACAAAAAGUGAGUCACAUGUUUUCUUAUUUGUUUGACUUAUGUUGGUGUGAUAUUUUGCCAAACAGAUUUAUAUGGUUUUUCAGAAGCAUUCUUACUAUUUUAUAUGGUUUUUGAACAAGUGAAUGUUUGGACUGCGUUCUAAUGUUAAUCAUGUUUUGUUUUGUUUUGUUUUUGCACUCUGCAUUUGUUUUAUUCAUGUAUAACUGUAAUCAUAUUAUAGUUUUUUUGGAAAUGUUUGCUCUAUACCCGAUCAUAUUCUAAAGCCACCAUUGAGUCUCAACCUGUCUUACUUAACAUUUGUAGUCACCUAUCUGUGUGUAGAGCUGCACUAGCUGUUCUUAUUGUCAGGUUCUGUUGGUGAGAACAUGUUCCAUUGGCAAGCGACCAUCAUGGGGCCUUCAGACACCCCAUUUGCAGGUGGGGUAUUCUUGGUGAACAUUCACUUCCCACCGGAUUACCCUUUCAAGCCACCAAAGGUGUCUUUCCACACCAAGGUUUUCGACCUGAACAUUAACGACAACAACAACAUUUGCCUUGGACAUUCUUAAGGAACAAUGUGGCAAAACUUAUUUCACACUCUGUAGGAAAGGGAAACACCAUUCUUUCGCAUAAGCACGAUGGUUCGGCCAACUGAACAUGUCCCAGUCCACAACUAUGUAGCUGAGAACCUCAUAGGUAGAUUCACAGUAG